rnacentral:rRNA from 1 species
AAAAUUUAAAAUUAUAAUACUAAAAUAGUAAGUAAUUAUUUAUUUAAACUUAAAUAAUUUGGCGGUAUUUUAGUUCAUUUAGAGGAAUCUGUUUAAUAAUUGAUAUUCCACGAUUAAAUUUACUUAAUUUAUAAAUUUUGUAUAUCGUUGUUAUAAAAAUAUUUUUUAAUAAAAUUAAUAUUUAAAAAUUAAUAUAAAAAUUUAAAUCAAAUCAAGAUGCAGAUUAUAAUUAAGAAUAUAAUGGAUUACAAUAAAAUUAUUUAAAUGAAUAUUAAUUUGUAAAAAUUAAUUGAAAUUGGAUUUAAAUGUAAUUUUAUUUAAUAUAAUAAAAUGAUUAAAAAUUAAAAUAUGU